rnacentral:rRNA from 1 species
GACGGAGGAUGCAAGCGUUAUCCGGAAUGAUUGGGCGUAAAGCGUCCGUAGGUGGUUAUUCGUGUCUGCUGUCAAAGCGCGGGGCUUAACCUCGUAAGGGCGGUGGAAACUGGAUGACUAGAGCAUGGUAGGGGUAGCGGGAAUUCCUGGUGUAGCGGUGAAAUGCGUAGAUAUCAGGAAGAACACCGGAGGCGAAAGCGCGCUACUGGGCUAUAGCUGACACUGAGGGACGAAAGCUAGGGGAGCGAAAGGG